AUUGAACGCUGGCGGCAUGCUUUACACAUGCAAGUCGAACGGCAGCACGGACUUCGGUCUGGUGGCGAGUGGCGAACGGGUGAGUAAUACAUCGGAACGUACCCAGUAAUGGGGGAUAACUAUCCGAAAGGAUAGCUAAUACCGCAUACGCCCUACGGGGGAAAGAGGGGGAUCGCAAGACCUCUUGUUAUUGGAGCGGCCGAUGGCUGAUUAGCUAGUUGGUAGGGUAAAGGCCUACCAAGGCAACGAUCAGUAGCGGGUCUUAGAGGACGAGCCGCCACACUGGAACUGAGAAACGGUCCAGACUCCUACGGGAGGCAGCAGUGGGGAAUCUUGGACAAUGGGCGCAAGCCUGAUCCAGCAAUGCCGCGUGCGUGAAGAAGGCCUUCGGGUUGUAAAGCGCUUUUGUCAGGGAGCAAAUCCUUGUGGCUAAUACCCACCGGGGAUGAGAGUACCUGAAGAAUAAGGACCGGCUAACUACGUGCCAGCCGCCGCAGUAAAAC
rnacentral:rRNA from 1 species